UACGUAGGGGGCAAGCGUUGUCCGGAUUUAUUGGGCGUAAAGAGCGUGUAGGCGGUUAGGUAGGUCCGUUGUGAAAACUCGAGGCUCAACCUCGAGACGCCGAUGGAAACCAUCUGACUAGAGUCCGGAAGAGGAGAGUGGAAUUCCUGGUGUAGCGGUGAAAUGCGCAGAUAUCAGGAAGAACACCCGUGGCUAAGGCGGCUCUCUAGUACGUGACUGACGCUGAGGAGCGAAAGCGUGGGGAGCGAACAGG
rnacentral:rRNA from 1 species